UGGCUAGGAUUUAUCCGUCGUUGUGUUAUCGAAAUUGUCGUUUUUACAAGGGCGCGAAAGGUGGAAAAUGCGACGGUCUUAAGUGCUUCUGCGACUUCUGCAGCGACAAGCCUUUUUAGUCAGUUUCUGAUGAGAAAUGUUUGAAUCUUGGCAUGUAUAAUGGUUUGUGUAAUGAUUAAAGGUAAACGAACAAGUAAUAGUCAAUAAGUAAAAUAAAAAUUAAAAACGCUAGACUUUGAUUGUGUUAUCACUAAAAUAAAUGAAGAUAAGUGGGACUUCGGUUGUGGAUCACUCACGAGUGAACAAGAGAUCUUGUAUUUGGAAAAACUAGAUAAUUGAUGGGAAGCUUCAUAAAAAUAAUUAUCUAAAUAAAUAAAAUUUAUAAUAUAUCUCGUGAAGAACGAGAGAGAGAUGGAGAUAUCUUCGAAACGAGUGAAGACAAAUUUUAUUAUUUUGAUUUUUUUGUUUGUUUAAAGAGAAGAUAUGAUAUGAGAGCAUAUUCCUUAGGCAAACUAUGCUAGUUCCCAAAUUCACCCACUACACAAACACAAUGAGGUCUACUAGAAAUAUAAUAGUUAUGACAGCUAAUGACUCGUGGUUCUCGUGGUUGUUGUCCUAACGAUGAAGAUAUAUAGCUUAGCACCACAACAAGUGUUGAGCAUAAGUCCAUAUUUGUUAACUCCAACUCCAAAGUGAUCAAAGAGAGAAAGAGAUAGAGAAUCGCCAUGGCAAAGAUGUCAGCACUUUCUAUCUUCGCCAUCUUUAUCAUCCUCGUUCUGGUUAUCUUUGGUAAAUUUAUUUCUCACAUAUUUAUUCAACUUUAUGAUUCACAGGAUCCAAAGAGUAUUUCUUUCGGUGAUAGCAAUAAGUUUCAUUAUAUGUGAUUUUUUAUAUGCUUAAAUCUGUAUGUACAUAUAUUUGUGCAGAAAUACCUGAGAUAGAAGCACAUGAUAGCGAGUGUCUGAAAGAAUAUGGGGGUGAUGUUGGGUUUGGCUUCUGUGCGCCUAAGAUAUUUCCGACGAUUUGUUAUAGAAAUUGCCAAAAGGACAAGGGGGCUAAUGGUGGAAAAUGCCUCUGGGGAGAGGGCGGUAAAGUGAAAUGCUUAUGCGACUUCUGCAGCAAUGAAUCUUUUAAUCAGUUUAUAAGUCUUACUUGAAACUUGCAUGUGUCGUCGUUUGUGUAAUAAGCAAGGCUAAUGAUCCAAGAAAUAAUGUAACAAUGAAUAAGUAAAAUAAAGAACCGCUAGGCUUUGCUAGUCUUACUACUAUUAUUAAAUAAGG
rnacentral:lncRNA from 1 species